rnacentral:rRNA from 1 species
AUACGGAGGGUGCAAGCGUUAAUCGGAAUUACUGGGCGUAAAGCGUACGUAGGCGGUUAUUUAAGUCAGAUGGGAAAGCCCCGGGCUUAACUUGGGAACUGCAUUUGAAACUGGGUAACUAGAGUUUAGUAGAGGGGAGUGGAAUUUCAGGUGUAGCGGUGAAAUGCGUAGAGAUCUGAAGGAACACCAGUGGCGAAGGCGACUCCCUGGACUAAAACUGACGCUGAGGUACGAAAGCGUGGGUAGCAAACAGGAUUAGAAACCCCGGUAGUCC